CAAGCCACUCUUCUUGGAUCUCUGCUAAAGCUAAAGGCAGGAAACAUAGCUCCCACCGGAGCUAGGUGUCCAUGUCAAUCAGUGAUUACAAGAGGCUUAAGCAAGCAGAACUCCGGUGUGAAAUUCAGUAACUCACAAGAGGAAGCCCAAGAUCCAGCUGACCCAGGGCCAAGAAGAAAGUUCUAGAACUAAAGAGGUGUUUGGCACCCUCACUAUGUUUGAGAAGCCAGACCUGUUCCCACAUCAGGACCCUAACUUUGGAGAUAGGAAAACAAAGCAAAAUAUGGAACAAAGAAUGGUCCUAUUUGCUAAAGGCUCUGCUAUUGGUGAACACAAAGAAAAUGGGAACUAGCAUCCUGCUGAAGCCAAGCAAAGAUUGCCCAAAGAGGAGACACUUGAUUUAACUUUUGAAGGAUCUAGAAACAGAAACAGUUGUCAAAAACCCAAAGAAAGUGCUGAAAGGAUCCCAGGACUGCGGGAUGCUGCUGCUGGUGCCACCCCAGAUGCUCUGUAGAACUGAUGGGAACUUCGUAUCACCCACUCACAUUCAACUUUUAACUCACCCUAAUGCAGAGGACAUUUUCCCCUCAUACUAAUCAGUCAUAAAAUCAAAGCUGCCCC